rnacentral:tRNA from 1 species
UCUCUGAUAGCUCAGUUGGUAAAGAAUCUGCCUGCAGUGCAGGAGACCCCGGUUCGAUUCCUGGGUUGGGAA